AUUUUUCUAGUAUAUAAGUACAUUUGACUUCCAAUCAAAAAGUUUGAAAAUUCAAGAAAAAUA
rnacentral:tRNA from 1 species